GAUAUGAUGAUUGAACGGUAAACAUCACAGACUUUGACGAACCCGUGAGAAAGAAACACUGUCGGUAACCAGUCUGACAG
rnacentral:snoRNA from 14 species